UACGAAGGGGGCUAGCGUUGCUCGGAAUCACUAGGCGUAAAGGGUGCGUAGGCGGGUCUUUAAGUCAGGGGUGAAAUCCUGGAGCUCAACUCCAGAACUGCCUUUGAUACUGAAGAUCUUGAGUUCGGGAGAGGUGAGUGGAACUGCGAGUGUAGAGGUGAAAUUCGUAGAUAUUCGCAAGAACACCAGUGGCGAAGGCGGCUCACUGGCCCGAUACUGACGCUGAGGCACGAAAGCGUGGGGAGCAAACAGG
rnacentral:rRNA from 1 species